UACGUAGGGUGCGAGCGUUAAUCGGAAUUACUGGGCGUAAAGCGUGCGCAGGCGGUUCGUUGUGUCGGCGGUGAAAGCCCCGGGCUUAACCUGGGAAUGGCCGUUGAAACUGGCGAACUGGAGUGUGGCAGAGGGGGGUGGAAUUCCGCGUGUAGCAGUGAAAUGCGUAGAGAUGUGGAGGAAUACCGAUGGCGAAGGCAGCCCCCUGGGAUAACACUGACGCUCAUGCACGAAAGCGUGGGGAGCAAACAGG
rnacentral:rRNA from 1 species